UUAGGGGUGUGUCUGUGUAAGGCCAACACGAUAACUCAUUGAAAGACAGCAAGUGCAAGCAGUGAGGAGGAAGACAAAGCCUGGCACAGAGCAGCAGGACAUAAAAUGAUAGUCC